rnacentral:snRNA from 1 species
GCAUGUGAGGGUGAUCUGGCUGCAAUAUCAGUCACCCGAUUGAUCGCCAGGGUUGAUUCAGCUGAUCUGGCUGGCUAGGCGGGUGUCCCCUUCUUCCCUCACCACUCCAUGUGCAUCCCAAAGGAUGACCUUCCCUGAUAGAGGAGGACCGUUCUUCAGUCAAGGGUAUAUGAGUAGCUGCGCUCCCCCUGCUAGAACCUCCAAACAAGCUCUCAAGAAGGGAAAUCCUGGUGGGAUUUGGGGGUUGGAUAGAGGAGAGAGAGUUUAGUCCUGGAGAUAUAGUGACAUAGUUCACUGAGAUAAAGAUCUUUAGAG